AAAUUUAAAAAAUAACAAAAAAACAAAGGGACUCUAAACCGUGAAACGCAGAAACAUCACUCUCAGUGCCUCGCCACUCUCCUCACACAAAACCACUCUCAGUGCCUUAUUCUCAAUGAGAAGUGAGAACCGCACACCAAUGUUCUCCUUCUUCUUCUCGAUCUCGCUCUCGCUCUCACAUCUCCAUCAUUCCAGGUUCUUCAUCGCUCAAAUCUCUUCCCAGUUUUCAUCUCAAUCUUAGUCGCGCUCUAAAUCCUUUUUCUCGGACAAGCUUGUGCUGAUUUCUAUUGAAAUCUCAAUCGUGCUCUAGUAAUCAGUACCUUUUAAAUAUGAAAGCCAAUGCUGUUCAAUUUAGUUCAAAAGGAAAUGGCCAAGAAAAUGUGGUAACAAUUCUUCACUUAGUAUUGCCAUCUACUUGCGCAUUUAUUGUUUCUCUAUUUUUUGUUUCUUUUAUUCACAUAUUGUAUUUUGAAUUUGCCUAAUUGAUUCUACCUUCUAUCAAAAUUUUCCUAGCUCAAAUUCACCUAGUGCUCCUCCAGUUUGCCUGUUAACUUCCUAUGUUCCUUAGUUUGAAAAGUAGUAGUUAUUAUAGUUUAAUGUUAAAUUACUUGUGAAGUCUUUUAGUUUUUAAGAUUUUCGUUGAGUUCCUCUCAGAUGAAUAUUUUAUUAUAGCACCUGCACUUGCAUAUAAAAUAUAGUUUUGUUCAAAACAAUCAAUCUUUAUCAUUUUCUAUAUAUACUAUUAGCUUUUAAGAUAGAAUAGGAACAUAUAUGAACAUACAAAAUAUUUACUCUCUUAAUAAUAUUUCCUGUUGGAUUCUUUUAAGAUAGAAUCUUUAUCAUCUAUAUAUUAAGAAUUUACUUGUUUAGCCACAUGAUUGAUUCUUUGAAACAUUUUAACACCGAUCCUCACAAAUUGUCAUCACAGGUUUUUGAGGUAAAGUACAUGCUCUUAUGGUAAUCAUGGCUUAUGUUACAAAUAGGAGUUUGAUUAGUGAAAAAUUGAUAAGAAUGUGACUAAGUGGGACUUAGAAUAUAAAGAUUUAGGUGAACUAGAGUUCACUAACUCUUACAAAUGAUACCAUUCAACUAUAUAUUUAUAGUUCUAACUAGUAUUAUAACAUUGCACUCAGGAUUCAUUUUAUUGUGUGUUUAAUUAUAUUUAAACUUAGAGUGAGUAACGGAUGCAACUAUUUUAAUACUAGACAUGGUUAUAAGGAAACAAAUUAACUUUGGGUAUUAACUUUAUUAUUUCAUAGAAUCAAAGUGUUAAGUGACGAGGAAAAUGACAAAUAAGUGUGGCUCUUCUUUUUCUCUGAUGUAAUAUAAGUGUUGCUCCUCUGCUACAUUAUUUGAAUUCUACUUGUUUUGUGAAGAUCUGAAUUUGAUUGUGAUUGUGAUGAAACUCUAGGAUGAUGAUAGUGACCUAGAAUAUAAGGUUGAAGCAUUUCCCCCAAUAAGCACGGAAGUAGCAUCAGAGACUGUGGCAUGUGUGAAGGUGAAGGUCACUGGCCCUAUACCUUCUCCAAUUGUACAUUAUAUCUAGAUUUUUUGCCUUAGAUGGUUACACAGUGCUUGUUUGAUUGCAUGUUCUUAUGAUUAAAUUGCAUUUUAUUGAAUCUAAUUCCUACCUUAAUUUCCAUAUUUUACUUCUGAAAGAAGUCUAUAAUAUAUUUUACAAUGUUUUGCAAAUCUGUUUCAUACUGGACAAACAUAAGACUAGCAAUUGUGCUAUUCUUUAACAUUUCACUGGCAUGUUUCUGUGAAUUGUUCAUUCCUUAGGUAAUGAUUGCUUCACUAAGUGAAUCAACACCUAGUAGUUCAAAAAUUGAGGCUCCAUUGACUAUACAUGCUCCAGUUUGCAAUUCAUCUAAAACUUCUAACAAGGGCUCACAAUCCUCUAGUUUGAUGCAAGGAACAGAGAUUUGUUUUUUGUUACUAUUAAGAGACAGACACUGCCAGCUGUGUCAUUGACAGAUAAUAUUGAAAGCAAGGGAUUAGAUGGUAGCAACAUGGCUUCCAAAAAGAGAAAAAUAGCAUGGCCAGAGGAAGAGGACAAUUUGCUACAAGAUUCUGUUCAAAGAUUUGGUGAAGGGAAUUGGGCUACCAUUGCAAAAGGAGGCAACUUUCCUGUUAAGAGAACUGCUAAACAAAUAGAUCAAGAUGCUGAUGUGGGAAGAUGGGUUUUGCCAAGGAAGGAGUGCAAGUCUGGUGGAAGACAUGGACGGAGGAGGAGAUGAUCCAAUGAGAAAGGCCUUUAGCAAGAUGUCCAUUCAGUUAUAUAAUUAUAGAGAAGGGUGGGUACUGGCUUCCUCCUGAAUGGACCGACCAGUUUGAUUCUGGCAUUCAGAUAAAAUGCAUGAAAUGUGGAGAAAAAUAUGAGCGUUAGAAAAGGAUGAUGGAUCUUACUGUUGAGAUAGAAGGGGACAUAGCAACUCUGCAGGAAGCUCAUUUUGAGUUUAUAGUCUUGUAGUAUUUUUUGUUGUUUAGAUUUGUAACAUGAUUUAUUACUUUUCAAGAGAAAUUUGUGUAUCAAUAUUUUGAGUUUAAUGAAAUAUCUCAUUUUGUAGUAA